AUUGUUUCCUAGGUAAUGCCCACAAAAUAAGGACUCCUGCAUCUGACGAUUGAGAUAAAACAAAGAGUUCUUUCAAAUCAGCUUAACUCCUGCUUGAACCGGCUGGCUGACAGCUGCCAAGACAGAAGACGAGGCAACUGCUCACAAAACACAGACACAGUCUUGGAUCUAGCAAAUGAGAUGACUUUCCCCUCUGCAGACCUCUUAUCUCCCCGGGAUCCAUCUGUGGCAAGAAGUGCUCUGUGUCUCUUCUCAGUGUUAUUACUGCCUUUAGCUGGUUGCCUCUCUGUGUCAGGUCUGCCUCUUUGUGGACUUGUUGGCUUGCAGAGGAGGUGAACAGGGAUACUGCUGCUCAUGUCUGUGAGCCAUCAGCACAAAAUGAUGGAGAGGAAAUCACAGCAUCUUUUUUUAAGUUGAAAUGCCAUUAACAACUUACAAUAACAGUUAUUGUAUGUUUGGUUUAACAGCUAAUUUAAAGCUGAACACUCAGUAUGCAGGUAUUCCUGACUCAGACUGAUAGCCUGCAGUGUCUUAAUAAACUGUAAAUGGUGUG